rnacentral:rRNA from 1 species
UACGUAGGGGGCAAGCGUUAUCCGGAAUUACUGGGUGUAAAGGGAGCGUAGACGGUAAUGUAAGUCUGGAGUGAAAGCCCGGGGCUCAACCCCGGGACUGCCCUUGGAACUGUCAGGCUAGAGUGCGGGAGGGGCAGGCGGAAUUCCUGGUGUAGCGGUGAAAUGCGUAGAUAUCAGGAGGAACACCGGCGGCGAAGGCGGCCUGCUGGACUGCGACUGACGUUGAGGCUCGAAAGCGUGGGGAGCAAACA